GCUCCCUACGGGGCGCAGCAGUCGGGAAUAUUGCGCAAUGGAGGAAACUCUGACGCAGUGACGCCGCGUGCAGGAAGAAGGUUUUCGGAUUGUAAACUGCUUUAGACAGGGAAGAUACAAGACGGUACCUGUAGAAUGAGCUCCGGCUAACUACGUGCCAGCAGCCGCGGUAAUACGUAGGGAGCAAGCGUUAUCCGGAUUUAUUGGGUGUAAAGGGCGCGUAGGCGGGAUGGCAAGUCAGAUGUGAAAUCCAGGGGCUCAACCCCUGAACCGCAUUUGAAACUGUCGUUCUUGAGUACUGGAGA
rnacentral:rRNA from 1 species